rnacentral:lncRNA from 1 species
CGUGGAGUCCUUCUUUUAUAAAUAUCUCUUGAUUCUGAACUCCAAAUAUAGCAAAUAAUAUAUGCAUUUCGAUCAGCUCGACGAGAUCUUUGUAAUGGUGUACUCCAUUCUGUGAUUGGUGCUUGUACCAGGGCGGGCGCCCUGCCCCCGGGCCCGUUCGGCCUCCCGUUCGUUUCCGUGGUUUCUAGACUCUUCUAGAUGAUAGAAAAUUACACGGCAUGUUAAUAUCUCUAUGUAAACCCGACGUGUGGGCCUUUCCUCCAUAUUUCCUGAUAACCCCCUGUAGAAAUAGACAAACACCAAAACUCGUGGAAUUCUAUAAGAUAAAACCCUAAGUCUGGGUGUUGGUUGCAUUUGGAUCCUUUUCUUUAUUCAUUUGAUGAUUAUAUUUGGUACUUAAGGACCGUCAACAAACUCACCCAAGCUUACCUCUUGCUCGUCCCUAAGCAAGGAUAGACUCAAAAGUUUCUGCAGUGGUUUCAUGCCUUAAAAGUACACAUGCGUUCAAGCAAGAUCUUAUCUCUGAGUUAGAGUAAACUGUUAAGACUUAAAACUUACUCAUUUUACCUUUCACCAUGGGGCUUGCAACCGUCACUUGUGUCUUGAGCAGUUAAAAGAUAGAAUAGUCUAGUCAAGUGCCAUGUCUCUUGUUCUUUGAUUAACUAUAGCUCUGGAGUUUUUGCAGAUUUUUAAAUAAAACCCAGAGAUUCCUUGUAUGACUCUCUCAAAUCUCUCUUUUGUGGUAUUUCUGGAUCCUUUCCAAGGCAGUAAUGGUAUAUGCCUAGUCUCAAAGUAUGUGGCAUUUUUGGUAUGAGGUAUAGUAAUAUUGUCUUCUCUCUCACCCUACUCUAAUAAGGUUUUGAUAUGUGGAGCUCAUAGGUGGGAGACAGAUAAUACAUACUUACAAGAAAUUUAUUGCAUAGUCAAACCAUAGAUCCAGAAGAACAAGUCAAUAAGUCAAAUCAAAAUGUGCAUGUGUGGCGAAUGAAUGGUGUAUGGUGAUGGCGGUGAUAACAAUGGUGAAAGUCUAAUUCUACUUUGCUCUUUUAAAGGGAUACAUACCUUUCUUGCUCUUUUGAAACUUUUUGAGGAGAAUGAGAUGCUCUAUAUUUUCUUUUUCUUUCCUCUCAGGUUGGUAUUUUGUACCCCUAAUUCUACUGUAGGACACUUGUCCAUUUUUACCUCUCGUCUCACUUUUUCUUUUCUUUUGAGGUUCCGGGCACUUGCCCCUUUUUAUUUCCUCGUAUCCUUUCUCUCUUUUCUUUUUUUCUUUUUUUAGAGCACUUAUCUCCUGAAAUAAUAUAGCAAGUGAUAGUAACCAAGAUAACUCGAGCAUUUAUUUCUUAGGGAAAAAUAGAAAUAGGAGAAUGUUUUUGGCUAUUCUCUCCCGGAUUAGGUGUAGAAUACUUUUGGAUGGCUCUGGAGAUGGAAAUGAGUGGAUAUAUGUGGAUGCGUACUUCUGGAGUAGAAGUAGCAUGUGAGUGAACAUGCAAGUGAAUCUUGAUUUUAACCGCAUGACAAGCUCCUAAGGGUCUACACAGCUUGACUACACUCAAUGCUCAUAAGCAGUAAAAAGUAAAUGUAUGGUUCAUAGUCUAAUAAGCUUGUAUAUAUGGCUGUGGUAGGAUUUUAAACUCUCAUCAUACAGGAACUCACCAUGCAACAUUUUCAAGAUUUUCAAAGAUAAAAUUCUCUAGAAUUUUAGCAUCUCUAGGAACAGAUAAACAGCAGCUCAACCUUCCCAUAUCAUAUCUGUUAAUGACUUAGACUUUUGAUCAGGUACUCUUCCCGCAAAUUCAGGUUUAGAGCAAGCUUUAAAUUAUAACAGUUAUACCUAAACUUGAGAGAGAGCUUAAAUUUGAAAACUAGGUACUUGGCGGAGCAACUAUUCAUCAUAUCCAUGUAAGAGUUUAUCAUUGAAGUUCAGUUUGGCAUAGACACUAUAUUUAUUUAUUUAGCAAACUAAGCAAAGAUAUAUAUAAGCACAAAAUGUUUAAUUGGGUUUUUAUGAUUAUGCAUUUUUUUAUUAUUUGAGUAAGGUAUAAAUGUGAGUAGAAACACUUAGCUGGAUAAAUGGGGGUGCUCUCCCCCAAGCUGGAUUUUAACGUAAUUUCUUCUGAUGUAGCUAGCAGGUGGCGUAGGUGUAUUUGAAUGUUGGCAGCACCCUGAUAGUGAUUAGAUGUCCUCCGUAUGCUAGUCUUCCUUGAUCCUUGAAUUCUAUGGAGCUCAAAUAGACAAUAAAGCUUUGUGGAACUGGUUAAGUGUUAGCAUAAAAUCUCUUAGCCUUUAUCAUGUUGAGCUUCUGCUAAUAAAUAUUACUCUCUUUAGUGUGUAAGGAUUAUAUACAAAUCUUAAGUGUGUA